GAUGAACGCUGGCGGCGUGCCUAAUACAUGCGAGUCGAGCGAACGGACGAGAAGCUUGCUUCUCUGAUGUUAGCGGCGGACGGGUGAGUAACACGUGGAUAACCUACCUAUAAGACUGGGAUAACUUCGGGAAACCGGAGCUAAUACCGGAUAAUAUUUUGAACCGCAUGGUUCAAAAGUGAAAGACGGUCUUGCUGUCACUUAUAGAUGGAUCCGCGCUGCAUUAGCUAGUUGGUAAGGUAACGGCUUACCAAGGCAACGAUGCAUAGCCGACCUGAGAGGGUGAUCGGCCACACUGGAACUGGGACACGGUCCAGACUCCUACGGGAGGCAGCAGUAGGGAAUCUUCCGCAAUGGGCGAAAGCCUGACGGAGCAACGCCGCGUGAGUGAUGAAGGUCUUCGGAUCGUAAAACUCUGUUAUUAGGGAAGAACAUAUGUGUAAGUAACUGUGCACAUCUUGACGGUACCUAAUCAGAAAGCCACGGCUAACUACGUGC
rnacentral:rRNA from 1 species